rnacentral:rRNA from 1 species
AGAAUCAACGCUGGCGGCGUGCCUAACACAUGCAAGUCGCACGAGAAAGGGGAGCAAUCCCCGAGUAAAGUGGCGCACGGGUGAGUAACACGUGAAUAAUCUACCUCCGAGUGGGGAAUAACUGAGAGAAAUCUUAGCUAAUACCGCAUAACACUUACGAGUCAAAGCAGCAAUGCGCUUGGAGAGGAGUUCGCGGCCGAUUAGUUAGUUGGCGGGGUAAUGGCCCACCAAGACUGUGAUCGGUA